UCUCCCUACCCCUACAAAAAGAAAAUAGAGAGACACCCAACAAUAUACGCCUCUUAAUUCUAGUUUUAGGUUUGUUAGAAGAAUAUCAACAAAUUACAAAGAUUUACUCGAUCGUCAGCGUGCUUUCUCCGAUUCUCCAGAACGUUGUCCGUCGCUCCUUACUAAAUAUCAGCCACAGUUUCUCCCAUUUAUUUUUAUUUUGUAUACUCUUUUAACUCUCUCUCUCUCUCUUCGAUCUCCUCUCCUAAACUCCGACCCCGGCGCCCACCCCUACCCCUGCCUCAACUCGCCGACAUCUUCGCCUUCGUCGUCCCUCCCUAUCUCUCAGGGGUACAAUCUAAUUAAAUAUUCCAAUAUUCGACGCCGCCAAGCCCACUGCCACCAAGCCCUCCAUCUCAGCCCUAAUUGAAAAAAGUCGAGGUGGGCAGCAGAAACGUACAGUUUCUGCUGUCAAAAAUGUUACAGGAAAAGCGACGGAUAGGGUCCUUUAGUCCGUUGCUUUUCUGAAUUUCUUUUUAAUUUUUUUUUAGAAAAGUGACGGACGGGGACCCAAUGUCCGUCACUUUUUUGGAAAAAAAAUUAAAAAAUUUAACAAUAAAAUGAUGUAAUCCGUCGUUUUUUGUUUAUAUAUUUUUUUUAAAAAAAUAAAUUUAUUCGGAAACAGCCGUCCUACCUUGGUAGGAAUAAGGUCUGCGUACAUUUAACCCCCCCAGACCCACGUUGUGGGAUUUCACUAGGUUGUUGUUGUUAAAAAAAUAAAUUUAGAGGCGACGCAGUCCGUCGCUUUUUGCGAUGCAGUCCUUCGCUUUAUUAAAAGUGUCAAGCAAAAAAGCGACGAAAGUGAUUGCGUCGCUUUUCCGUCGAGUUUGACCAAAAAAGCGACGGUCGUUUUUUGACAGUUUUUUUAGUAGUGGAUAUGAAUACUUACAU